UUAUUUUGUAAAUGAGUUAUAAAGUGUUUUAAAUUUAAAUAAAAGAAAAGUUUGGCCCAAAAGAGUUAAAAAUGUCAUUUAAAAGUCAAUUGUGCAAGAAUUUUCGAACCAAUUCCAUCAAAUCAGAUGGAAAUAUCCAAAGUAUUGAAUGUAAUCAAGCGAAAAUAUAUGGCGAAUGAAAUAGAUGGCUAAAAGAGCAACUGGGUGAUUAUUUACAGUUGUUGUCGAGUGACAAAGAGUUGGAGUGUAAUAUGCCCAGAAGCCGGCAUGUGACGAAAGAAAAGAGAGCCCGGCUUGCAGUUGCCAGUCAAAACAAAUCGUAAAAUUUAUUGUCGAUUUGAUCGUAAAAUUGUUCUUGCAGCAAGUGAAUUUAAUACACGUUGUUUACGAUGGCCUUGGCCGUGGAUUUUACGAUUACGGGCGAAUGAAAUGCGCAUGCUUUUGUCGAUUGGCCAUAAAUGUUAAUGUGGUGUGUAUGGAAUACAAGCUUCAAAACACAAUCCAUACAUACACAUAACCCCCUUUGAUGAUCAGACAGAGAAAAAAAUAUCACUUUGUGACGUCAGUUUUUUGGCUGCGCUUGUUAUUACAUAAUCAUCAUCCAGACACAUCCCGAAUGAUAUAUAAAUAUGUGCCACGUAAGCGUCAGUCGUUUUUCGACGGUUUAUAUGCAUAUUUAGCAAUGAAUAUACACAAACACACAGCCAUAAUGAUAAAACUAAAUGAAUCCCGUGAUUGCGUUCCUGAUUUCAUCAAUCCAAACUCAACAGCACAGCUCUCUGUAUCUCACUCAUUUUCAUAUGGAAUGUCUUCACCGCCUUCUGGCGCAACAGCAGCAUGAACGAAAAACAACCAUGAAACAAGCUCAUUUCGAGCGACUGCAUCAAACUCACACACAAACACAUACCGAAUGGCAGACGCAUACUCAACACAAACUACUUGGAUAAAUAGCUACUUAGUACUUAUGUUUAUGAUUAUUUUAUAUUUAUUACAUCUAUUUUUAUGGUGUUAAAAGGAAUUGAAAGGAGUCACAUCCACAUACAAUGUAUCUUAUUAUACAAAGUAGAAGCGCGCGCGUUGGCAAGUUCAUUCGUUAUAUUUUUGCUCUGAUACGCAAACAACGUCAAUGUCGAUUUCCGAUGGCCACUGAUUUUUCUUUCUCCACCCAACGUGAUGUGAUGUUUAGUUUUGAUUGUGAUCUAUUAAGUGAACGAUGAUUUUCACGAUGUGCGAUGACAUUACAAUUAUAUAACGGACAUGUUCGUACUUAUUAAUCGCUUUUGUUCUUAUCGCAUCAAAUAUCAAUUUAGUUUUGUAAACAACUUUUGAUUUAAAAUGGUGCUGUCGAUUUCGAAUAAAUAACCACAAAAAAUGAAAAUAAAACAGAAUCGAUGAAGUUUGUCAAGAAAAUAAAACAUAAAUCGAACGAUGUUUUAUAUUUUUCAACUUUUCAAGUACACAUAAUGGGGAAACCGUUCCGAGUGAAAGAAGAUAAACAGAAAUAAAUCGAACAAUGUUUAAAAAUAAAA